rnacentral:sRNA from 1 species
AAUAGAUGCUUCAGGAAAUUUAAGUUUUCACAAAUACACACACCCACAGGCCAGGUAGCUGGAUUCUCUUUUGUAAAGACCACAGAUCAUGUUAAUUAGUUCUACCCUCCUCAGUGGAUGGUCAACUCACCUUCCUAUAUAAACACACAUGAGAAUUUGCACCAAAUCUCAACAGCCAGGCAAAACUCUAGAACUCAAAAAUUCUUGAAGCUUAUACUUUAAAAGUAUUUUUUUAAAGUGACAGGUAAACAAGGAGGCACUUGAAUUCAAAAAACCAAAAUCAAUAAAAGCAAAAAAAAAAAAAAAAAGAAGAAGAAGAAAACAAAACAACUUUUUUCCCUCAGAGAGCUGCACCAAUAACCCUGAGAGGUUGCCAGGACUUUUUAAGCAUCUCUCCUCUACCCUUUGGAUUCAACUGGUUAAAUUAGACUGCAUUCCAAAAUUAGACUGCAUUACAUAAUUAGCUGUGAAAUUCUGUCUCAGAUUAGUGAUGUAAAUCCAACUUUGAAAAUUAGAAAAAUCUUUCAAUUUAUAGAAUCACCUCCGAGGGUUUUCCCUAAUGUGAAACCCUGUUAGAUACUCAGAAAGUAAUGCCAGGGGUUGGGGGAGCAUCAGGGCUGCCUGCUUCAUGCUUAGAGAGCUAUACUUUAAUCCAACCUCUACAGGAAGCUUUUGAGCUAAGGACUAACAGCGUCCUGAAACAGGGUCCCAGUACAAGAAAGAUCGAUAGAAGGGACGUGCUCCCAAAGCUGGUUUUGAGUGGAGCCAUUUUCCCAAGACUGAAGCUGUACUGGGUAAAAUCCUAGCCCACCAUGAAGAACAGGGCUAGCACCAGAGGUCAGCUGGAAGGAGAGCAGACUGUGGGCUUUAGCAAGGCAACUAUUACUGCAUUACCACAAAGUACAGACAAGCACACACACACACACACACACACACACACAUACACACAUACACACACACACACACACACACACACACACACACACACACACACAGAUCACUCUGACAUGAGUUCCAAAUUAAGUCAAACAGGAGUGGGAAAACACUGGAAAGCCAAAAAA